AACAUUUCUAUUAGAUCUAAUUAAUAGUAAAAUCUGCUCAAUGAUAUUAAAUAGCCGCAAAUAAUGUGCUAAGGUAGCAUAAUAAUUUGUUUUUUAAUUGAAAACUAGAAUGAAAGAUUAAACAUUUUUAAAUUAUAUCCUAAUAUAAAAAUAAAAAUUAUUUUAAAUUUUAAAAAACCUUUAUAAAAAAGAAAGACGACAAGACCCUAUCGAACUUAACUUUAGUUAAACUGGGGCAGUUAAUUAAUUAUUAUUUUAAUAUAAAUUAUUAAAUACCUGACCUAAAUACUUUAAAUAACAGAACAAGUUACCGUAGGGAUAACAGCGUAAUAAUUUUCAUAAGAUCUUAUAAAAAAAAAAGAUUGCGACCUCGAUGUUGAAUUAAUAUCCUAUAUUGAAGUAAAAAUCAUAUAAGGAAGUCUGUUCGACUUUUAAAUAAUUACGUGA
rnacentral:rRNA from 1 species